UACGUAGGGGGCAAGCGUUAUCCGGAUUUACUGGGUGUAAAGGGAGCGUAGGCGACGAUGCAAGUCAGAAGUGAAAGCCCGGGGCUCAACUCCGGGACUGCUUUUGAAACUGUGUUGCUAGAUUGCAGGAGAGGUAAGUGGAAUUCCUAGUGUAGCGGUGAAAUGCGUAGAUAUUAGGAGGAACACCAGUGGCGAAGGCGGCUUACUGGACUGUAAAUGACGCUGAGGCUCGAAAGCGUGGGGAGCAAACAGG
rnacentral:rRNA from 1 species